CGAUCAGACGGGGCGUGAAAUAACGCUGUUUUCAUUGCUGUGUCAACGUCCAUCUGCGACGACGGCUUUACAUCGGCCUGGUUGUCGAUCACAUC
rnacentral:snoRNA from 1 species